rnacentral:rRNA from 1 species
AGCGAACGCUGGCGGCAGGCUUAACACAUGCAAGUCGAGCGGGCACCUUCGGGUGUCAGCGGCAGACGGGUGAGUAACACGUGGGAACGUACCCUUCGGUUCGGAAUAACGCUGGGAAACUAGCGCUAAUACCGGAUACGCCCUUAUGGGGAAAGGUUUACUGCCGAAGGAUCGGCCCGCGUCUGAUUAGCUGGUUGGUGGGGUAACGGCCUACCAAGGCGACGAUCAGUAGCUGGUCUGAGAGGAUGAUCAGCCACACUGGGACUGAGACACGGCCCAGACUCAUAAGGGAGGCGGGAGGGGGGAAAUUUGGAAAAGGGGACGAAGCCUGACCCACCCAGGCCGGGUGGGUGUUAAGGGCUUUAGGUUUGAAAAGCUUUUUUGACCGGGACGAUAAGGGGGGAACCGGAAGAAAAAGCCCGGGUAAAUUUGGG